AAAGAGGCAUUAUUUUCAUUCGAGGACGUGCCUUCCUCUUUGCCCCCUGCUGUCACUCACAUUUUGCAGGAGUUCGCUGACGUCUUCCCACAAGACGUGCCACCGGGAUUACCACCUAUUCGAGGGAUUGAGCAUCAAAUUGACUUAAUUCCCGGUGCAUCGCUACCCAACCGUGCACCAUACCGUACCAAUCCAAAGGAGACGAAGGAGAUUAUGCGUCAAGUACAGGAGCUGCUCGACAAAGGUUAUAUACGCGAAUCUCUUAGUCCUUGUGUUGUUCCUAUUAUACUCGUGCCUAAAAAGGAUGGUACGUCGCGUAUGUGUGUUGAUUGUAGAGGCAUUAAUAAUAUUACUAUUCGUUAUCGUCAUCCUAUUCCUAGGCUCGAUGAUAUGCUUGAUGAAUUGAGUGGCUCUACAAUAUUCUCCAAAGUUGAUUUGCGUAGUGGAUACCAUCAAAUUCGUAUGAAAUUGGGAGAUGAAUGGAAAACUGCAUUUAAAACUAAGUUUGGUUUAUAUGAGUGGUUAGUCAUGCCUUUUGGGUUAACUAAUGCACCUAGUACUUUCAUGAGACUAAUGAACGAAGUUUUACGUGCUUUCAUUGGACGAUUUGUGGUGGUCUAUUUUGAUGAUAUACUGAUUUAUAGCAAAUCUUUGGAAGAACAUUUGGAACAUUUACGUGCUGUUUUUAUUGCUCUACGUGAUGCACGUUUGUUUGGUAACCUUGGGAAGUGCACCUUUUGCACCGACCGAGUAUCUUUUCUUGGCUAUAUUGUUACUCCACAGGGAAUUGAAGUUGAUAAAGCCAAGAUUGAAGCUAUUGAGAGUUGGCCGCAGCCCAAAACGGUCACACAAGUGCGGAGUUUUCUUGGACUCGCUGGUUUCUAUAGGCGUUUUGUGAGAGAUUUUAGCACCAUUGCUGCACCUCUCAACGAGCUUACAAAGAAGGAUGUGCCUUUUGUUUGGGGUACCGCACAGGAAGCAGCCUUCACGGUAUUGAAAGAUAAGUUGACACAUGCUCCUUUACUCCAACUUCCUGAUUUUAAUAAGACUUUUGAGCUUGAAUGUGAUGCUAGUGGCAUUGGAUUAGGAGGUGUGUUAUUACAAGAUGGCAAACCUGUUGCAUACUUUUCUGAAAAAUUGAGUGGGCCUAGUCUGAAUUAUUCUACUUAUGAUAAAGAACUAUAUGCUCUUGUUCGGACUUUAGAAACAUGGCAACAUUAUUUAUGGCCCAAAGAAUUUGUUAUACAUUCUGAUCAUGAAUCUUUGAAACAUAUUAAAAGUCAAGCUAAACUGAAUCGUAGACAUGCUAAAUGGGUUGAAUUCAUUGAAACUUUCCCUUAUGUCAUUAAACACAAGAAGGGUAAAGAAAAUGUUAUUGCUGAUGCAUUGUCUCGUCGCUAUACUAUGCUUUCACAACUUGACUUCAAAAUAUUUGGUUUGGAGACCAUCAAAGAUCAAUAUGUGCAUGAUCCUGAUUUUAAAGAUGUAUUGCAGAAUUGUAAAGAAGGAAGAACCUGGAACAAGUUUGUCGUUAAUGAUGGAUUUGUGUUCCGUGCUAACAAGCUAUGCAUUCCAGCUAGCUCUCUUCGUCUUUUGUUGUUGCAGGAGGCGCAUGGAGGAGGAUUAAUGGGACACUUUGGCGUGAAGAAGACGGAGGACGUACUUGCUACACAUUUCUUUUGGCCAAAGAUGCGACGGGAUGUUGAGCGUUUUGUUGCUCGCUGCAAUACAUGUCAAAAAGCUAAGUCACGACUCAAUCCUCAUGGUUUAUAUAUGCCUUUGCCUGUACCUAGUGUUCCUUGGGAGGAUAUAUCUAUGGACUUUGUUUUAGGUUUACCUCGAACAAAGAAGGGGAGGGAUAGCAUAUUUGUUGUCGUGGAUAGAUUCUCGAAAAUGGCACACUUUAUACCAUGUCAUAAAAGCGAUGAUGCUGUUAAUGUUGCUGAUUUGUUCUUUCGUGAAAUUAUUCGCUUGCAUGGUGUGCCAAAUACUAUUGUUUCAGAUCGUGAUACUAAAUUUCUUAGCCACUUUUGGAGAUGUUUAUGGGCUAAGUUGGGGACUAAACUGCUUUUUAGUACUACUUGUCACCCCCAAACUGAUGGACAAACUGAAGUAGUCAAUAGAACAUUGUCUACUAUGCUUAGGGCUGUUUUGAAGAAUAAUAAGAAAAUGUGGGAAGAAUGCUUGCCUCAUAUUGAGUUUGCUUAUAAUCGUUCAUUGCAUUCUACUACUAAGAUGUGCCCUUUUGAAAUUGUGUAUGGUUUCCUACCUCGUGCACCUAUUGAUUUGUUGCCUCUUCCAUCUUCGGAGAAGGUUAAUUUUGAUGCUAAACAACGUGCUGAAUUGAUCUUAAAAAUGCAUGAGUUAACUAAGGAAAACAUUGAGCGUAUGAAUACUAAAUAUAAACUUGCUGGAGAUAAGGGUAGAAAACAUGUUGUGUUUGCACCUGGAGAUCUUGUUUGGUUACAUUUGCGUAAGGAUAGAUUUCCUGAUUUGCGCAAAUCAAAGCUAAUGCCACGUGCUGAUGGUCCUUUUAAGGUGUUAGAGAAAAUAAAUGAUAAUGCAUAUAAACUUGAGCUGCCUGCAGAUUUUGGGGUUAGUCCCACUUUUAACAUUGCAGAUUUGAAGCCUUAUUUGGGUGAGGAAGAU
rnacentral:rRNA from 1 species